rnacentral:rRNA from 1 species
ACGGGAGUGGCAAGCGUUAUCCGGAAUUAUUGGGCGUAAAGCGUCCGCAGGCGGUUUUACAAGUCUGUCGUUAAAACGUGGAGCUCAACUCCAUUUCGGCGAUGGAAACUGUAAGACUAGAGUGUGGUAGGGGCAGAGGGAAUUCCCGGUGUAGCGGUGAAAUGCGUAGAUAUCGGGAAGAACACCAGUGGCGAAGGCGCUCUGCUGGGCCAUAACUGACGCUCAUGGACGAAAGCUAGGGGAGCGAAAGGG